CAGGGAGACAAACAAUGAUUUUGAUGUCUGAGUUUUUUUAUUCUUAGGCCAAAAUCCUGUCACCUUAGGUCGAUCGGUACCUCAACUUUGAAGCUAAGAGAAUCCAGCAAUGGAUUUCUGCUUAGUGGAGAAUUUUAGUUCCUAAACUUUGUCUAGUUCACAACCCAUUAGGGAUGAGACUCCUGGGCCAUUAGCUCAGGUGGUUAGAGCGCACCCCUGAUAAGGGUGAGGUCCCUGGUUCAAGUCCAGGAUGGCCCAUUCGGUGUAGGGGGUUUAGCUCAAUUGGUAGAGCGCCUGCUUUGCAAGCAGGAUGUCAUGAGUUCGAGUCUCCUAACCUCCACUGACUACCAAGAAUCCCCAUCUCCAAAGCCUGGGAGUAUGACCUCGUAUGGAUUGUGAUUUAGAUUGGUCCGCUGAGAUGACCUAGCUUCUUGUCUUUUUGAGGCAUGGAAAUAAUUCCUGGAUGUUUAUUGAAAGGAU
rnacentral:tRNA from 1 species